GUGGGGAAUAUUGGACAAUGGGGGGAACCCUGAUCCAGCCAUGCCGCGUGUGUGAAGAAGGCCUUUUGGUUGUAAAGCACUUUAAGCGAGGAGGAGGCUACCGAGAUUAAUACUCUUGGAUAGUGGACGUUACUCGCAGAAUAAGCACCGGCUAACUCUGUGCCAGCAGCCGCGGUAAUACAGAGGGUGCAAGCGUUAAUCGGAUUUACUGGGCGUAAAGCGCGCGUAGGUGGUUAAUUAAGUCAAAUGUGAAAUCCCCGAGCUUAACUUGGGAAUUGCAUUCGAUACUGGUUGGCUAGAGUAUGGGAGAGGAUGGUAGAAUUCCAGGUGUAGCGGUGAAAUGCGUAGAGAUCUGGAGGAAUACCGAUGGCGAAGGCAGCCAUCUGGCCUAAUACUGACACUGAGGUGCGAAAGCAUGGGGAGCAAACAGGAUUAGAAACCCCAGUAGUCC
rnacentral:rRNA from 1 species